CCUACGGGAGGCAGCAGUAGGGAAUAUUGCUCAAUGGGGGAAACCCUGAAGCAGCAACGCCGCGUGGAGGAUGAAGGUUUUAGGAUUGUAAACUCCUUUUGUUAGAGAAGAAAAUGACGGUAUCUAACGAAUAAGCACCGGCUAACUCCGUGCAAGCAGCCGCGGUAAUACGGAGGGCGACAGCGUUACUCGGAAUCACUGGGCGUAAAGAGGGCGUAGGCGGGAUAGCAAGUCAGAUGUGAAAUCCUAUGGCUUAACCCUAGAACUGCCUUUGAAACUGUUAUUCUAGAGUAUGGGAGAGGUAGGUGGAAUUCUUGGUGUAGGGGUGAAAUCCGUAGAGAUCAAGAGGAAUACUCAUUGCGAAGGCGACCUGCUAGAACAUAACUGACGCUGAUGCGCGAAAGCGUGGGGAGCAAACAGGAUUAGAUACCCGGGUAGUC
rnacentral:rRNA from 1 species